AUUGAACGCUGGCGGAAUGCUUUACACAUGCAAGUCGAACGGCAGCACGGGGGCGAACCCUGGUGGCGAGUGGCGAACGGGUGAGUAAUACAUCGGAACGUGCCCAGUCGUGGGGGAUAACGUAGCGAAAGCUACGCUAAUACCGCAUACGAACUCUGGUUGAAAGCGGGGACUCGCAAGAGCCUCGCGCGAUUGGAGCGGCCGAUGGCAGAUUAGGUAGUUGGUGGGGAAAGGCUCACCAAGCCGACGAUCUGUAGCUGGUCUGAGAGGACGACCAGCCACACUGGGACUGAGACACGG
rnacentral:rRNA from 1 species